GUUUUUGGACUCUGUCAUCAGCCACCAAGUUUGGGGAAACGGAGCGAAGGGCGAAGGAAAAGUGGAUCCAAUGCAUCAACCUCCUCACACUCAAUUUUGUUCAACCACUUCCACCUCCGAUCCUUCAUUCCCUCUUCGAGCAAGCAUUUCAUUAGGAGGAGAACUCCAGUUUUUUUAGGUGACUCUCCGCUUAGGACUGAUUUCUUAUUCUUGACUGCUGAUUGUCUGCUGCUCCACACUUAAUAAUUCAUGAAUUGCAGAAGUUAGAAACAAAGUGGAAUUGUUUCUUUAUCUCCAUGUUGUUUGUACCACACAAGUGUUGAAAAUGUGAAAGUAAUGUAUUUUGAUAAUGAGCUUCACUGUGAUCAGGUGCAGUUACAGGUUUGUCUGUGACCUUAACUCAGACAUAUACACACAAACAAAAAAACUGUAUGCAGCACAAAUGACACCAAUCUAUCUUUGAGUAAUUUCCCAUCAGCAUUCAGUAGUUGAUAAAUAAACAGUCACAGCGAUCUUUGUUGCAUAACGUAUGGUUUCAGAUGCAUUCUGGAUAUUUUACAUAAAACAUGAAUAUGUUGCAGACACUCAGUAGAGAUAGAAGUGUGCUUCACUGAAUAAAAGUCUUUGAUAAGUGCUAAAACAAAAAUAAGAAUCUUAUAAGAGGAAGGCAGCAGACUUAAAAAAAAAAAACAAAAUAGAAAAAUAGUACUUACUUGACACUGGACAAAAGGAAAUGCUUUAACCUUUAUCAGAGUAAAAAAUUCCUUACAAGGCCAGGUGAGGUGAUCUCAGCAGGUGAAUAUAAUGAUGAUAAUUAAUGGAUGACUUGUCCUUGUAGACCUUUAACACAGCAGAUAUUGUGACUUGUCAUAGCAGGAAGAGACAAAUGCAACUAAUGACAUUAAUGACAACUCAUUCCCAUAUAUGCCUGGCAGUAAGUCAUGCCUGUGAGCCAGUAUGCACAAAGCCCCUAACCAACCAGGGGUACUUUAGGGGUGCAUCUGCAGCAGGGGGAACAUGGUAAGUACAACUAAUUAAAGGAAUUUUAAACCUGGGCCUGUGUCAAAAUUAUUCUAGUUACAACUGUGUUCAAGUCCAAAUAUUGUCUGUGAGGAAGGUCUUUUCAGUAGGCAACAUUGUAUUUUCUCUAAGGUAAAUCUCAUUUGUCUUCUGUCCUCGCUUGACCCAGAAAUCGAUCACAUCCCCCAUCGUUAAGGAGGUAAUUUAUCUAAUGCUGUUCAGUGGAAUGAUAAAAAGAUGGAAGAGCAGGCUAAUAAGAGAAAUGGAUGGACCUAAAGACUUUCUGAGUUUAAGGUGUGCAACCUAGGUUCAGUGAGGCAGUGAUCAUUAUUCUUAAUAUAUACAUUUUGUUUUACUACCCUUCUCAAGGAAUACACAUUAAGAAAUAUUACAAUUUGCAUUUGAUGUGUGAUAAGGCGGAAAAAAUACUAUGAUUUUGCAGGAUAUAAGCCAUGGCAAUUUCCUCAUACUGAAAAAAAGUAAUACCAUAUUCUACUUGUGGAAAAAAGCUCAUUUUUAAUGUCAAGCAGCGAGGGAAAAAUACUUUCCAGAGAUAUGAAAGGAGCUGCUUAGCAUGCGUUAGCGAUUCUUAUAAUGGUUUGAGGUUUAUUGACAGCCCUGUGGCAGCAGGACAAAUCAAGAUGGAAGCUUGUGUAAUACUGCACCUAAGUCAUGCUUUUCCCACUGGACUAGUCUUUUCAGACUAGCCAGCCUGAUUACCACUACUUCUGUUUUUGUCGCUCUCAUCUAUCCAUCUGUCUUGUCUUACAGUUUGCCCUUGGACCUGUUUCCUUUAAAGUUGUUUUGUAAUGAGCUGUGGAGGAGAUGGUAAAGCAAAACAUGAUGCAUUAUUGAUUCCCGCCAUGCAGCUCUGAAGUUGUUAAUGGCUAGGAUGCUCCACGAGACAUUUAAGUUUUAGAUUAUAGUCUAAGAGGCAGUGAAGGAGCGUUUAGGGCCUUGUCAAAAGUAAAACUGGCAGAUGGGAGUUUAUGAUUCAACAUUAUUGCAAAGCAUCAUCACCACAUAAAAGCAUUAUCUGUAAGCUUGGCAGACAUUUACAUCUGGAUUGAAUUCAACAAACUUUGAUGUUAACAAUACAGUAUGUUGUUUCCAGAGUGGGCUAAAACCUCGAAAAUCAUCUGCUAAUCUUGUUUAUAAUGUUGACACUGUUUACAUGAUUUGUUUUGGCCUGAAUAUCUCUUUGUGGUGUACAGUAACCUUACUGCUUCAAUGUGACAUAAAAGACUAUGUUUCUUAAAAUGAUGGGAUGAUGUGAUUAAACAUUUAUUCAUCUGC